rnacentral:lncRNA from 1 species
CUUCUCGUCUGUCGCCAUGUGAGAUGUACCUUUCACUUUCCUCCAUGAUUGUGAGGCCUCCUUAGCCACAUGGAACUGCCCUGGCAAUCACUAUUCCAGUCUCUGCUUCUAUGAGUUUGACUAUUUCAGAUUCCACAUGUAGUGACCCCCACCUUUACAAGUGUCUGUAAUUCUCACUAGCAGUAUAUUAGAGGGCAAAAGAUUUGAACAGACACAUCAGAAAAGAAGACAUACAAAUGGCCGCUAAGCACUUGAAAGGAUUCUGAACACCAUUAGUCAUCAGUGAAAUGCAAAUUAAAGCCAUAAUGAAUGGCGCUAUACAUUUUCAGAAUGGCAAGGAUUGAAGACCGAAAAAAAUCAAGCGUUGAGGAGAGUGACAAAUGGGGAGACAGCCGUGGUGCAUGAUCGCCGAAUAAAUACCAUGUGAGGAUACAGCAAGAAGGUGGCCAUCUACAAGCCAAGGAGACAGGCCUCAGAAGAAACCAACCCUUCUUACACCCUGGACUCAGACUUCUAAUCUCCAGAACUUGUUAAUGCACAAGGUCUUGUGUUGAAAAUGUAGAGCCACGAGAUAAAAGCAGCUUGGAUGGCUGACUCAUAUACAAGGACAACUGCCUGAGAGUCACCAGGGCUAUCAAGAAGUUUGCAGAAACAAGAAAUAAACUUUUACUGUUUUAAACUUUUGUGAAUUUUGGGUUUUGUUUAUCACCAAAUAAACCUAGUCUAUUCUGAUUGUUAUAAGUGGUUAAUUUGGGAAGUCAGAUAUAUUUAAAAUUGGCUUACUGCUGUAACAUAUACAGUCCAAAUUACAUAAUGGCUCAAAUGCAAUAGAAGUCUUUUUUUUUUUUGCUCACAUAUCACUUCACUGAGAUUCUGCAUUAAUUGUAAUGAUGAGGGUGAGGGUGUCUUAUAUCAUACAGUUGUUCAGCAACCCAGGAUGACCAACUUUGUAAUAUUUUUUCCCACUGGCUUCUAAAGUUCUCAUAGAUAGUAAAAUUCAUUUGGAAGAAGGAGAAACAGCAUGGAGGAUUGCAGAUGGAGAUUUUUAUGGGAAGGCUUGGAGGUUUGGAGGUUACACAUUACUACUUUUACUUGUUGGCUAGGAAACUAUCACGUGGUCACACCUAAGUGCCAGUGAGUCUGACAAUGUGGCAAUUUGGUUGCGGGCCAGGGGUAAGAGGCAAUAAAUUUUGCUCAAUAAUUAUCAGUUUUUGCCACAGAUGGAGGGACUUUUCAUUGUAUAACUAGUUGUUACUGUUUGAAUUUAAAACAGGAAAAUAUCAUUUUCAAAUAAAAACACAAAAGUGGCACAAAAAA